AUGCCUGGGCCCCGUGACCUCAAGCUCCUGCGCCAGCCUCGCCUUCCUGCACCACCUUGUCUCGGCCGUUCGACCCCAAGCCAUCCUCGCAUCACGGUCUUCAUCUUCCAAGGACGCCAAGACCUUUCGUGGAUGCGUCAAGUACCCUGCUGCCCUACGGUAUCGCCAAGAACGCGUUCCGCGAUGACCGGUGUCUUUGAAGAAUGCCACGUACCAUUUUGUCACACGCCCGAACGACUACCACACCGGAACGUCAAGUACAUGGAUAUGCCGAGUUCCUCUCCGAAUGUGUGUACGACUACCGUAGCACCGAAGACCUUGAAUGUCCGAACGAGUGCUGACCGAAAGGCCUAA
rnacentral:rRNA from 1 species